CGGAAAAUAACCCAAACGAACAUAAGUUUUUUUCUGUUAAUAAUAAUAAAAUAAUUCAAAAUCCCUUCCGAUCGCCGGCCGCCGCGUCGCCGCCGGCACGUUCGUCUCUCCGGGAUCGACUCUAUAUCGAUGCGCGCUUAGGAGAGCUGUAGGUUUACACACAGAAUCAACAUUUGAAUCGAUUGAGAGCUAUAGAGAGAGAGGAAGCGAGGGGGGAGGAAUAGGAAGGUGGAAGGGAACGAUGAUUACGAGAUCGAAGCUAGCAGAGCAGCUGAGAGAGUAUCAGAUUAGAUCGAAGCAUGAUUGGGCAUCCGUCUCUUUCUUCUCCUCUACCUCUAACUUAACAUCCUCAAGGGUGGAUGUUGUCAUCUUUGUGAUAUGGGAACUGGUUAUUUUAGCGUUCCUGGUUUUCUCUGCCGUAUCACUUUACUUCAGGCAUCUAAAGCUUGCUUUUAUUUUAGUAUGUGUGACCUUGCUAUUGCUUUUAUGCAUGAAAAUAGCAAAACAAGUAAGAUCAGCGCGCAAAAAGAAGCGAAGGAUGCUUCUG
rnacentral:misc_RNA from 1 species